rnacentral:tRNA from 2 species
UGCUCUGUUCGUCUAUCGGUUAGGACGCCUGCCUUUCACGCAGGAAAGAGGAGUUCAAUUCUCCUACAGAGU